GACGAACGUUGGCGGCGUGCUUAAUACAUGCCAGUCAACUGAAGCAGUGGUAGCAAUAUCGCUGUGGAGGUGGCGCACGGGUGAGUAACACGUAGGUAAUCUGCCUUCAGGUCUGGCAUAACUCCGGGAAACCGGGGCUAAUAGCAGAUGAUGCAGCGGCUCGACAUCGAGACAGUUGUUAAAGCUAUGGCGCCUGAAGAUGAGCCUGCGUCUGAUUAGCUAGUUGGCGGGGUAACGGCCCACCAAGGCAACGAUCAGUAGCUGGUCUGAGAGGAUGAUCAGCCACACUGGAACUGAGACACGGUCCAGACUCCUACGGGAGGCAGCAGUAAGGAAUAUUGCUCAAUGGGAGAAAUCCUGAAGCAGCAACGCCGCGGGAGGGACGAAGGGCUUUGGCUUGUAAACCUCUGUAGUGAGAGAAAAAAAUCCCAAUCUUUGGGACAUGAUGGUAUCUCAAAAGUAAGCCCCGGCUAACUACGUG
rnacentral:rRNA from 1 species